ACACGACUACAUUAGAUACCCGGGUAGUCCUAGCCGUAAACGAUACUCGCUAGGUGUCGGCCACGGUGCGACCGUUGUCGGUGCCGUAGGGAAGCCGUGAAGCGAGCCACCUGGGAAGUACGGCCGCAAGGCUGAAACUUAAAGGAAUUGGCGGGGGAGCACCACAACGGGAGGAGCGUGCGGUUCAAUUGGAUUCAACGCCGGACAACUCACCAGGAGCGACGGUUACAUGAAGGCCAGGCUGAUGACCUUGCCUGAUUUUCCG
rnacentral:rRNA from 1 species